CUGAUUACUUUAAGCUUAACCUCCAUCUUCAAUGGAAUUCAGAGUCAGUUCACGCACAAUGUCUGCGGCUGUGUUACAGGGAUUUAUUUUUGAUAGUUUUGUUAUUAGGAAAAUAUUAAAAUGGACUGGCCUGUAUUUGCAGCAAAUUCGCAGGAUGACUGGUGUCUAAAUACUCUGGCUGAUUAUCGGUGAACAAGUUGUCAAUACCAUGACUGAAUUAUCUCCAGGAUUUUAUUGUCACGGUGUUUGAUUUCCUGAUGUCAAUUCUCUGAGGUAAUUUUAGUUUUCAGUUUUAAUAUUAAACUGAUGAUCAAUGACAAAUUUAAAGAGUAAAUCAAUUAUUUAAAAAAUAAUUAGAAUUUUUAAUUACUACUGACAAAGUUCAAAUAUUUGUUUAUAAAUAAUUUCAAAGUCAAUACCAUAAUUGAUAUGACGUCAAACCAUCAAACCAGGUAAUUAUUUUAUUAAUAAAUCGCGUUACAUACGUAUACAAUUUUCAACUUCCGGUGACUGAUGUAUUGAUUACUCUAAAUCUGAAACAAUAAAAAUUUCUAUCAAAAUAAGGAGACGUGUAAUUAAAAUUGAACACCUUUCGGUAUCUUCUACACCAAAAAAUCUUAUGGUGUCAUGGUAACGCCAGACCACGUGUCCACCUAACGGAAAUUCAAAUAAAAAUUUAAAAAAUUACUAUGGCCAUAGCAAAUUUUCUAUUAGUUAUUACAGUAAUUUUUGAUAAAAUAAAUAACCAGGAUAUGCAGGAUAAUUCAUUAACAUGACCUACUUUUAGCUGCUGGAGACGCUGACCCUUGCAAAAAUUAAUUAAAUGUUUCUAGUACUCAUGUGUCGGCACUCACUAGCCAAAUAUUUGAAGCACACAUGCAUUCAGUGCGCAGCUGCGAAAAAUUGUUGAAUUAUAUUUAGCGAUCGACGAUCGAUUAAACGACAAACGUCAGACUAGUAUACUUCAUAACUCUUUUGUAUUUUUUAGUUGUGACCUUAUUUUGUUAACCGAGUUUAUGUAAGUCUGAAAAUUUUAAUUUCGCUCUCAAUGAACGUCUGUGGUAAUAAAUAAAAAAAGAAAGUUAAUUAGUUAAUUAAUUAAUAUAAGAGAAUGAUAAAUUUGAGUGACAUGACAGUGACAUUUAUAAAUAAAAUAAUUGAUUACUUCCCAUAGGAAUGAAACUGGUGGGUUUAGAUUUAAUAUGAAAAUUCUCAGCACGUUGAUGAGGAUAUUUAUAAACCCGAUCAUCAAAGUAGAGGGAGAGGAUAAAACAAAGGGAAUUUAUAAAGAGUAACAGUGGUGAUAAUAAUAAUAAUCGUAGGUACGGAUCGUCUAAGGUCACCGGAAGGCACGUUCACCGUCCAUAAAAUAUAC